rnacentral:lncRNA from 1 species
UUCACUUUUGGAGAGUGCUAUUGUUUGGGUAGGAUUUUUUAAGCUUAAUUCACAAAGACAUUUUUUAAAUAUUAAAAUUCAUGCCCUUUGAUUGAUCAAGGAGGAGGCAGGAUAAUGUAUUUUUUUCCCCUCGUACCAGAGUUUAAUACAGGCUAUAUCUCCUUUGGCAAAUCACCUAUCCCGAUAAAAAACAAAACUGUUUUUAAAUCUCAGCUCUGUAAUCCUUAGAGCUUAAAGAUAAAGGAAAAAAAAUGACCUUCUUUUUGUCCAUUAGUCAAUUACAGGAAGCAUUAUUCUUUCCAUAUUACCACGUUAUGAAUCUGAUUUCAAAGUAAGUAUUCUAAUGAAAAGAGAAGCACUUAACUUUUUAAAAAAAUUCCAACUGACUCUGCAAAUGAAAUUUUUAAACCAAGGUACCAGGAGAGGAAAAAGACCUUAUGUUCUAAAGCCACCAUCAUAUGAAAUAAAUUAUUCUGUCUUUUAUGUAUCCGAAUGGUAGUAGUUAUAUGCCAUCCUUGGGAGAACUGAAGAAAUGGUCACUCAAGUCAUUCUGUAUGUUUUGUGUUUCUGAGGAGCCCUCACUGAGAAAGGCUGGCAGAGUCAGAAAAAAAAAAUUCGUGUUCUUUAAACAGGGUAUAGUCGGGGUUUUUUUUUUUGUGAUUGGGGCUUUUUAAAAAGAGAGGUACUCUGGAAAAGGAGACAGAACAUAUUUAAGUCCUACUUUUAGCAUGUGAAGGAGCUAGAUUCUACAUUUUCUUAAAUACUCUGAUGAGUUAAAUGGAACUAACACUCAAAUGCCACCAAAUCCCCCCACCACUGAUAGUUAACAAUGACAGCAUCUCCGACUGCUUCUUGCAUCUUUGCUAUCUGCCUGACUCCAUUCUGAGUGCUUUGCAUCAAUUCUCCUGUAAUUCUCUUUAAUAUGAGAUAAGUAUCCCCAGAUUUACAGAUGAAUAAAACUGAGACUCAGCUCACACAGCAGGCCCAAGAUUGUCCAGUUAAAUAAGGAGCACAAGCAGGAUGGAAGCCAGGCCAGUUCAACUCAAAGGGCCUCACUUAACACCAAGGCCUACUCUGAAGGGUGCAAGACUUCAGGCUUGUAUCCUCAGGUGGGCUGUAAAAUAAGAGGCCUGGACUACACUAGCUCUAAAUUUGUUACCCAGUAUGCUACAGUUAAUUUACCAAGAUACAUAGUGCAAAAACAAGGAAAAAGAUUAACGUCACUUUUUACUAUGAUUUUGUAUAAAAUAAUUGGAAUUUAAAAUAGGGCACAAAACAUUAUCUUUAUGAAACACUUGUUUCUGAAUGAAAUGGAGGAUGGUUUUAGCACCCUAAUACUCAGUUUCAAAACUGUAACAAUAAAGUUACACAAGAUGAUAUAAAUUCUAACCCCUGUAGAAAUGUUGGACUGAUUAUCCAAUUUCAGGAGUUACAGUGUGGCUUUAUGUUUGUUUUCUUUAGUGCUUUGCCAUGGUUUUUAUAUAAUAAAUGAAAAACACAAACAAAAAACACAAAACUGAGUUGUGGAGAAUGAUGACUUCGAUGGAACCAUAAAAUCUCCCCUACACUAAAAAGAAAAGAACACACAGCCACUUUACAUCUGCAAUCCACCUUCCUCAGACCUUGGUCUUGCUCUGUCACCCAGGCUGGAGUGCAGUGGUGUGAUCACAGCUCACUGCAGCCUUGACUUCCUUUUGGGCUCAACAGAUCCUCCCAGCUCAGGCUCCCAAGUAACUGGGACUACAGGCGUGUGACACCAUGCCCAGCUAAUGUUAUUUUUUGUAGAGACAAGGUCUCACCAUGUUGCCCAGGCUGAUCUCGAACUCCUGGGCUCAAGACAUCCUCCUGCCUCAGCCUCCCAAAGUGCUGGGAUUAUAGGUGUGAGCCACACCCAGACUAGACUAAUCUUUAAGAAGACAACCUUUGUUUAUAAGAGCAAAAGAUUCUAUUAUAUAAAGGCUGUAUCAGGAGUGCACUUCCAAUUUGAUAUAACUCCAUUUCAUUUGAAAAUCUAUGGUCAUCAGAAAUUUGGGGAGAAAAAUUUCAAUUUGACUAAGAUGUUUAAGGGGGAAUGUUAGUUAUUUUGAAAAUCAUAAACAUCUUGACUUUGCAGGUUUAAUCAUCUGUACACUUCUGAUAUUGUACUGUCAACUUGUAUUUUUAUCAACUUCAAUGGGUCUUGUAGUUAUAAACAGCAUAAUAUAUCAGACUGACAGAAAAAAAGUAAAAUAAGCUGAACUCCUAAUCUAUGCUGGUCAUUGUUGAAGCAAUUGCCAUGUUUUAUCUCAUCUAGUCUUCAUAAAAAACCCUAAGAAGCAGGUACUAAUAAUAUCCCUAUUUAUAGAUAACAAUACAGAGAUGCAAAAAGUUCUGUAACUUGUCCAAGGCCAUAUAGUUCCAAGUUGCAGAGCCAGGCAAUCUGACUCAGCCUCUGCUCGUAACCACCAUACAAUCCUUAAAGUCCUGUUCCUUUUAUUUUUUUUCUCCCUUGCUUAUGUCUUAGGCCCACCUAGGAACACCCACAGAGGGUUCCUGGCUCAGGUGAUGAUAUUGGGGGGUGCUCAGAAAGUCCAUUGCUGCUAAAACAAUAUAUAGAAACAGGUUACGGUAAUACCAUAAUGACAGUUCCAUAUAACACAAAAUAUUCUCAAGCAUAAGGAUACUUACUUUAAGCAAUAAAGCACAGACCAACAUUUCAAUAAAUCAGAAACUUGAAAUACUAUCUUGGAGACAAUUAUAAUUGAUUUUCCUCAGCCCAUUUCUCUUCUUAGACGACAAGAUUUCCUUGUUGAUCUUAUCCACAUUCCCGAUUUUCACUGCUGCAAAUCUGCAUCCCGUCCUAACCUCUCCUAUAAGCUUCAGACUUACAAUAUUGUGUCAACUGCCUGCUAGACAUCCCCAUCUAGAUGUUUCAAUUUCAAACCAAACAAUCACACCCCCACCCCAUUCUACAUCUCCUUUCUGAAUUUCCUAUUAGAUUUUUGGAAUUACCAUACCAAGCUGGAAAUGUAGGGGUCUCUACCUCACUUCCACAUCCAAAUAAUUCUGUCAAUUUUACCUCCCAGAUCUAUUCCUUCCCUCAAUUUCUGUUGCUACUGCUGCAGUUCAGGCCUGUACCGUCUCUUACUUGGACUAUUUUAAGAACCUUCUCAGUGGGCUCCUGGCUUCAAAGUUACCCUGCAUAGCAACAUUCAAAGCAGGGAGGAACAUAUGAAAAUCUAUGGUCCUCCCUGCUUUGAACCUUGCUAUGGCUACCUACUGCCUCCAGAUGAAAUUCAGGUUACUGAUCCCAGCAUCCAUCUGGCCUCAGUCUCUCCUGUUUUUUCCAACACGCUUCCCUUUAGUAUUCAGCCCCUGCAUCUUACUAAUCUGAGGCUCUUUGGGCCUAAAUAACUGUUCAACUAAAUUGAACAAAUGUCUAGGAUUUUGAUUUUUAAGUAAUAUAGAAUAAUACUUGGUCCUCUAGAGCAUGUAGAAUUCAUAAUUCCAAAUUUACUAUGAGAAUUAAGUCAUCUUUUAAAACAUUUUUAUUGUGGUAAAAACCAUUUUUAAAGAAGAAUUAAUCCUCCCUUAAGGAAUCAGAAUGGGGAAAAAGUUAUUUAAGGUCUACCAUCUUUUUGCUUUUUAAUCAAUAAUUGAGUUAUUCUAUUUGUAUUCUGUUUCUUCACAGUAUCAAUUGCCAUCAGGAGUCUUUGUAAGUAGUGAAGAGUGGUGGAUCAGGAUCUCAUCAGAGGCAGGCACCAAUCUGACUUAAUUCAGGGACUUGGUUAGGUAGGUGACAGAAAAGCUGGGAAGCCAGACCACUGUGAGAACCACAGGCAGCCUCUCCACGGCCUUGGGCAGAAGAAUAAAGAGAGGAGAGAAUGUUGUUGGAGCUCAGGGCCACCCACAGUGGGUGGGGCAUAGGUGAGACGCAGCAGCUCACAGAGGUCUCUAGAGCUGAGGAGACAAGGCUGAGAGUCUGGGAAGCGGGACAGAGUACCCACGUGGAGAAAGCUACAGAGAGAGAGGACUGUAGAGAUCUGUAGCUUCCCUAGAGUCUUCAGCUGAGUACUGACCAGCACAUGUACAUAAGUAAACUACAAGAGGCCAGAGAGAGGACUAGAGGGAACCAUCUCCAAAUCUUACACAAACAUGCUGCAUGAGCUGGAAAGAGAAAUAUAAAUGCCCUGCUUUCCCCCCAACCCCCGCCCCUCCUCCUUUCCUGUAAUCCUCCCCUUACCUAUGCCUCCCAUUAGCCUGGUGGUUCUCAACCUUGGCUGCACAAACUAGAAUCAACUAGGAAGCUGUAAAAACGUUGAAUGCCUCGGUACACCCCUAGAAAGACUGAUGUAAUUGGUCUGGGUGCAACCUGGGCAUUAGGAGCUUUAAAAGCUCUCUUGGUGAGUUGAGAACCAAUACAUUAGCCGAACCCAAGUAGAAGACACGAGAACAGACCCUGGAAAACAUAGCCUACAGAAAUCAGCACCCUUUCAUACGGGGCAAGGAGAGGAUCUGAGAGCCUGUGGGCCUAAGAUCAGCAAAGAUGGCACAAAGAGAUGGGUAGAAAUAAGAUGAUGAGAAGAAGGAGAAAAAAAAGUAGGCAUGAUCUUCCUUAAACCCUUCAGUGGCCAGCUCACAUUGAACACCCGGCUGCAGAGUUUCUUCCCUCUUAUAAUACUUACUGCUAUUCCUCCAGUGACCAGACUAUCAUGUGCCACCUCCCAUGUGUCCUUGGCUGUGCUGAAGCCCAGCAUCUUGCUAUCUGUUCUGGUUCAUCCUGCAGCAUCCCAUCAGGAAACCCUGGUGUUCCUCCUCUUACUAGCUGCAUCAGAUGAAGAAUUUGUGAAUCUCCACAAAUAUAUGGUAGUGCCAACUCCUAAAAACAAACUUCCAACAGGACAACCACAAAGUACUGAAAUAAUAUACAUGCAUGCAUAAAGGCCAUGGGCAGAUCUACUUCUGUGAUCCUACAAGCAACACAUCAAGGCUCAUAAUUCAGAGAUCAUUUCUCUUCACCAACUACUUAAUGAAUGGUAUUCUUCCAGUGGAAAGUUUAAAUCCCCAAAUCACAACCAAUACCACCUGACUGAGCUCCCAAAAUUAUCACUAAAAGGAACAGAUCCAUUCUACCUAAGUAUGUGGACAUAUUCUCAUUUUAGCUAUCAGACUCUUUUAAAAGCACUUGAAAUAAUUAAUACAUUUUAAUGGACAGAAUGAAAAUUCAAAACAGGUAAAUGACCACAUACUGAUGGAAUUCCCACAGACUCUUGGGAGCAAUAUGACCAUAACAGCCAUCUUCUUCCAUCACAUUAUUAAACAAGAAAUGGAAGAUGCUUUUUGUCCGUAAAAACCAGAAAAUUAAGGUUAAGUGAAUUUUGAAAUGAUGAGUAACUAAUACUACACAGGAAAGAAACACACAAGUCUAAGCUUACCAAAGGAGUAGUAAACCCACUAGGAUUUUAUCAUGAAAAUGCUGCAUAUGUCUCAGACAAAAGGCAAAGGUAGAAGAGAACCAUCUUUUCUUAGCAUGUGGAAAUAACCUAACAAUUCCUUUGAAAAUAGAACCUAUCUAUACACAUGCAACAAAUCUGCACGUUGUGCACGUGUACCCUAAAACUUAAAGUAUAAUAAAAAAAUAAACAAAUAAAACGUGAAAAAAAAGAAAAUAGAACCUAAACACAUACUCUGUACUGAGUCAGUGUUCAACUCAUGCUAUUGACUUAUUAAAUAAUGAUGUCUAAGAACUCCACGCAUUGGUAAGACCUAACUGGGUACCUUUCUGGGAAUGAAUAACAGUGAUUUUAAAGACAUUAUUAACUGCAGUGAGAUUUGCUCAUCUGCCCAAGCUGAAGGGAGGCAUCUGAUUCAUCUCGGUCAAUUUAAACAGCUCAGAUAAUCUAAACAUGGUGUGGACAAAAUUAAAGGGCAUUCCGAGUCCUUAAUAUUAUGUGGGCUCUCUUUCAGAAUGGUCUUACAAAAUGUGCCUCAGGGGUUCUGUGGGUCCAGGAAAUAUCCACACAGUCCCUGACUUUGGUGGUGACAACAAAGGGAUCGAAGAUCUGAGAAAGGGAAGGAACAGAACACCACCUCCCGAAGCAAAACCAAACCAACAAGAAAAAAUACUCACAAUUGCUUAAAGAAAUGGUUGAUACUAGGUUGAAACUUUAAAUUAGAAAAUAUUUUCUUCAGUUAAUAGAAAGGAAAUAAAGGAUUGUCAAAUCUU